rnacentral:rRNA from 1 species
AGUGAACGCUGGCGGUAGGCCUAACACAUGCAAGUCGAACGGCAGCACAGGAGAGCUUGCUCUCUGGGUGGCGAGUGGCGGACGGGUGAGGAAUACAUCGGAAUCUACUUUUUCGUGGGGGAUAACGUAGGGAAACUUACGCUAAUACCGCAUACGACCUACGGGUGAAAGCAGGGGAUCUUCGGACCUUGCGCGAUUGAAUGAGCCGAUGUCGGAUUAGCUAGUUGGCGGGGUAAAGGCCCACCAAGGCGACGAUCCGUAGCUGGUCUGAGAGGAUGAUCAGCCCGACUGGAACUGAGACACGGUCCAGACUCCUACGGGAGGCAGCAGUGGGGAAUAUUGGACAAUGGGCGCGAGCCUGAUCCAGCCAUACCGCGUGGGUGAAGAAGGCCUUCGGGUUGUAAAGCCCUUUUGUUGGGAAAGAAAUCCAGCUGGUUAAUACCCGGUUGGGAUGACGGUACCCAAAGAAUAAGCACCGGCUAACUUCGUGCCAGCAGCCGCAGUAA